GACGGGUGAGUAACACGUAAGUAACCUGCCUUUAAGCGAGAAUACCAAUUGGAAACAAUUGUUAAGACUGGAUAGGAAACAAAAAGGCAUCUUUUUGUUUUUAAAAGACCUUCUUUGAAGGUAUGCUUAAAGAGGGGCUUGCGCCACAUUAGUUAGUUGGUGGGGUAAAAGCCUACCAAGACGAUGAUGUGUAGCUGGACUGAGAGGUUGAACAGCCACAUUGGGACUGAGACACGGCCCAAACUCCUACGGGAGGCAGCAGUAGGGAAUUUUCGGCAAUGGAGGAAACUCUGACCGAGCAACGCCGCGUGAACGAUGAAGUAUUUCGAUAUGUAAAGUUCUUUUAUUGAAGAAGAAAAAAUAGUGGAAAAACUAUCUUGACGUUAUUCAAUGAAUAAGCCCCGGCAAACUAUGUGCCAGCAGCCGCGGUAAUACAUAGGGGGCGAGCGUUAUCCGGAAUUAUUGGGCGUAAAGGGUGCGUAGGUGGUUUAAUAAGUCUCUAGUUUAAUGGCAAUGCUUAACAUUGUCCUGCUAGAGAAACUGUUUUACUAGAGUUAGAUGGAGGCAAGUGGAAUUCCAUGUGUAGCGGUAAAAUGUGUAAAUAUAUGGAGGAACACCAGAGGCGUAGGCGGCUUGCCAUGUCUAUACUGACGCUGAGGCACGAAAGCGUGGGGAGCAAACAGGAUUAGAUACCCUGGUAGUCCACGCCGUAAACGAUGAGUACUAAGUGUCGGAGCAAUUCGGUACUGAAGUUAACACAUUAAGUACUCCGCCUGAGUAGUACGUACGCAAGUAUGAAACUUAAAGGAAUUGACGGGAUCCCGCACAAGCGGUGGAUCAUGUUGUUUAAUUCGAAGAUACACGAAAAACCUUACCAGGUCUUGACAUACUCUGCAAAGCUAUAGAAAUAUAGCGGAGGUUAUCAGGGAUACAGGUGGUGCAUGGUUGUCGUCAGCUCGUGUCGUGAGAUGUUAGGUUAAGUCCUAAAACGAGCGCAACCCUUGUCGUUAAUUGCCAGCACGUUAUGGUGGGGACUUUAGCGAGACUGCCAAUGAAAAAAUUGGAGGAAGGUGAGGAUUACGUCAAAUCAUCAUGCCCUUUAUGAUCUGGGCUACAAACGUGAUACAAUGGCUGUUACAAAGAGUAGCUAAAACGCGAGUUAAUAGCCAAUCUCAAAAAAACAGUCUCAGUUCGGAUUGAAGUCUGCAACUCGACUUCAUGAAGUUGGAAUCGCUAGUAAUCGCGAAUCAGCAUGUCGCGGUGAAUACGUUCUCGGGGUUUGUACACACCGCCCGUCAAACCACGAAAGUCGGCAAUACCCAAAAGCGACGGCCUAACUGUGUUAACAGAGGGAGUCGUCUAAGGUAGGGUUGAUGAUUGGGGUUAAGUCGUAACAAGGUAUCCCUACCGGAAGGUGGGGAUGGAUCA
rnacentral:rRNA from 1 species